rnacentral:lncRNA from 13 species
UGGUGGUAGUACUGCUGUGUGGUACCCUACAGUUAGUGAGUGUAGUCGUGGUGGUGGUAGUACUGCUGUGUGGUACCCUACAGUUAGUGAGUGUAGUCGUGGUGGUAGUACUGCUGUGUGGUACCCUACAGUUAGUGAGUGUAGUCGUGGUGGUGGUAGUACUGCUGUGUGGUACCCUACAGUUAGUGAGUGUAGUCGUGGUAGUGUUAGUAGUAGUGUGGUUUUGGUCACCUAUCAUGUUCAUGUUUUUGAGGUCUUAUAUACAGUAUCAAUUCUUUUUGUUAUAAAAUAAAUCAACUUCAAAGACAACUGCUGAAAGUCU